GAGGCACUACGGUGCUGAAGUGAUAAAUGCCCUGCUUCCAGGAAAAGCCUCUAAGCAUCAGGUAACACGAAAUCGUACCCCAAACCGACACAGGUGGUCAGGUAGAGAAUACCAAGGCGCUUGAGAGAACUCGGGUGAAGGAACUAGGCAAAAUGGUGCCGUAACUUCGGGAGAAGGCACGCUGAUAUGUAGGUGAAGUCCCUGCGGACGGAGCUGAAAUCAGUCGAAGAUACCAGCUGGCUGCAACUGUUUAUUAAAAACACAGCACUGUGCAAACACGAAAGUGGACGUAUACGGUGUGACGCCUGCCCGGUGCCGGAAGGUUAAUUGAUGGGGUUAGCGGCAACGCGAAGCUCUUGAUCGAAGCCCCGGUAAACGGCGGCCGUAACUAUAACGGUCCUAAGGUAGCGAAAUUCCUUGUCGGGUAAGUUCCGACCUGCACGAAUGGCGUAAUGAUGGCCAGGCUGUCUCCACCCGAGACUCAGUGAAAUUGAACUCGCUGUGAAGAUGCAGUGUACCCGCGGCAAGACGGAAAGACCCCGUGAACCUUUACUAUAGCUUGACACUGAACACUGGUCCUUGAUGUGUAGGAUAGGUGGGAGGCUUUGAAGCGUGGACGCCAGUCUGCGUGGAGCCAACCUUGAAAUACCACCCUUUAAUGGCUGGUGUUCUAACGUAGACCCGUAAUCCGGGUUGCGGACAGUGUCUGGUGGGUAGUUUGACUGGGGCGGUCUCCUCCCAAAGAGUAACGGAGGAGCACGAAGGUUGGCUAAUCCUGGUCGGACAUCAGGAGGUUAGUGCAAUGGCAUAAGCCAGCUUGACUGCGAGCGUGACGGCGCGAGCAGGUGCGAAAGCAGGUCAUAGUGAUCCGGUGGUUCUGAAUGGAAGGGCCAUCGCUCAACGGAUAAAAGGUACUCCGGGGAUAACAGGCUGAUACCGCCCAAGAGUUCAUAUCGACGGCGGUGUUUGGCACCUCGAUGUCGGCUCAUCACAUCCUGGGGCUGAAGUAGGUCCCAAGGGUAUGGCUGUUCGCCAUUUAAAGUGGUACGCGAGCUGGGUUUAGAACGUCGUGAGACAGUUCGGUCCCUAUCUGCCGUGGGCGCUGGAGAAUUGAGGGGGGCUGCUCCUAGUACGAGAGGACCGGAGUGGACGCAUCACUGGUGUUCGGGUUGUCAUGCCAAUGGCACUGCCCGGUAGCUAAAUGCGGAAGAGAUAAGUGCUGAAAGCAUCUAAGCACGAAACUUGCCCCGAGAUGAGUUCUCCCUGAGACCUUGAGUCUCCUGAAGGAACGUUGAAGACUACGACGUUGAUAGGUCGGGUGUGUAAGCGCAGCGAUGCGUUGAGCUAACCGAUACUAAUGAACCGUGAGGCUUAACCUU
rnacentral:rRNA from 1 species